CUUGGCUGUAUGAGUUCUAAUUUUUUGUUAUUUUUUUGCCAGGAGAGGCUGACAGAAAGGAGUUGGAGGUUGCAAUAUUGAAGAAAAAAUUGGAAAAGGAGCAGAAGGCAAUCAGCUGACUCACUGCUGUAAGCAUAUUACAUGAUAGUAAGAAAUUAGAACAACCUCUGUAAGCCAGAUUUUAUAAUGUACUAACUGUACUUGCUCAAUUUCUUUUAACAGGAGGUCUCAAGAGAGAGGGAGAGGAGAAGAGACCUCAUGAGAGCGCGGGACCGGGCAAUCGAUGCCAUCUGCUCCCAGCUACUGUCUAUCCCUUAUUCGGAGAGAAGAUUGUCGGUGAGCUUUGUCCUUCUGCUUCUGGGAGAGAAAUAGACAUAUUUCAAUUGAUGACUCUCUACCCCAUUCUAAAAUAUUUCUUUAACAAUUUUCAGCCUCUGCAAGAAGCAAAUAGAAAGAAAUAUCUGAAUGCGUCAAGAAGGUAAAUGAUACCAUUUUUAAGACAUUACAUGUUUUUUUUCAUAGAAAAGUUAUCAUACAACAUUUGGUAGUAAAAAUCAAAUCAAAUUUGCAACACAAUUUUUAUUCUUUUACAGUAGCUUGGGGUCAAACAGGUGACUCUAUCGCGGUCAAGAACAUGUGGGUUCCCAACCGCAGAUUGUAGUAGAGAUGGAUGAAUUCAAAGACACCUGUCCCUCUUUUUGGGACUCCCUCUUCUCCCUUUUUAACCAGGAACAACCAGGACCAGCUGUGGCUCAGAGAUGCAGUCAAGUGACAUACAUCACUUUUUACACCUCUUCCUUAACAAAGACACUGGCAAUUGGUCCCAAUUUGAUCCCAGCUGAGGUCUUAACAUGAUGACUAUCUGUAUUAUGUAAAUUCUCCUUCACCACCAAAUACACUCCUGAAGAAAUUGCCUUUGGCAUCCCCUUCUUAUCUGGGGGUCAAAGUCAGGAAAAUGCUUCCAGAAAUUUGAAUGUCAUGCAGGAUGAUUGUGCCCUGCAAGUUUCUGCCCUGAGUACCUGGGAUGUUAAGAAAGAAAACCUCAAGAGGGCCCAGGGGAAAGACAUCAAGCGUGCUUUGGCCAACGGCCUUGCCAGCCAAGUUAAUACCUUCCAUCUACCCAAAUGUCCAUCCAUCCUCCUCCUCGUCACCAGACGAACAAUGUCUUUGUCAUAAAAAAUAUGGUGAGAUGUAAUUAAAAGAAAAGCAUACCAGCUUGUUCAUUGCCCAGGUUACAGGAACCGUGUUAGGUUUUGGAGUUCCUGGAGAUUUGGUGGAAAACAGACUGCAGGACUCAUGGCUGUUGGCUGAGUAACCAGGGCUAGCAGCCUUGCCCAAAAUAACUCAAAUUGCAAGGGUAAACCAGGGGAAGUUGGCAGUAAAAGGCAGCACAGCUAUUGAACUGUUUAUGUUUGGAAACCAGGAGCUUAUUUUUUGCCUCAGAAACAAUAAAGCUCGGUAACGAAAGAAGUAGGAGAGUUCGAAACAAAGAAUCAUUGAGCAUCUAGAACAGCAUAAAAACACAGCAUAAGGUGGCCUGCAUUGAAGCUUGUUCCAAAGAAACAGCUAGCACAAGCAUUAAACAUACUGCCAAUACUGUAAUAGCAAAUAUAAGCACCAGCUCACUGCAAGAAACAAAGCAACAAAUGUGCAGCGCAAUUGCAGUUAUGAUUGAAUAUCUGGGCUAUAAAAUAACAAACAGGAAAAACAACCAAAUGGAAGACUGGGCUGGAAAAUCAGCAAGCUAGGAUCAGAUGCAAGCAGAGUAGAACAGAUGAAAGAAAAGAAGAACAAGACCAAAUGAUACUAGGUCAAAAAAUAUCACCUAGAAAUAAGGAAGAUUAAGGAAGCUUUGGAAAUAAUAAAGCAGCAAACCACAGCCGUAGCCAAGAAGAUCAGCAGACAUGAAGUUCAAAUUCCACACUGCAGACAGGCUCUGCAAUUUAAAUUUAAAUAUUUCUGGGAACACUUGACAAGGAAGACACAGAAAAGGUCAGCUCUCUCUACUCCAGCGGUUCAGGUCCUAGCACUGCAUGACGGAAUGAGCUCCCGUCACUCACCUCAGCUUCUGCCAACCUAGCAGUUUAAAAGAAUGAAAAAUGCAAGUAGAUAAAUAGGUGACACUGUGGUGGGAAGCCAUCAGCGCUUUGUGCGAUAGCAAGAAACCAGCCGGCGCUAGUCCUGCACAAAUGCAAGCAAAUAAAUAAAUAAAUAAAUAAAUAAUAAACCUGCUUAGCAACAACUUUCAAAUUGCUAACUGGUGUCGUAGCUGAGCUUGGCUUAUAAAAAAAACAAUAUCUUUCCACCUGAGCAGAAAGAAAUUUGCCCUACGGGAAAGGAGCAAAACUCCGACUCCUGAUUGACAAGAUAAUUUGUGGAAACUGCAAGAAAAGCAAGACCAACUUGAACGUAGUGUGGAUUGAGUACAAGAAGGCAUUUGACUCAAUGUAACCUGAUUGGAUAAUCAAGUACCCAGAGAUACGAUGGGUAAAUAGAAACAGCAAAAGCUUUGUCAAAGAUCAAUGACACAGUGGGAAGACCCAGCUGCAGGUCAGUGGUGAUAGAUUGGGAGAGGUUAAAAUGAAGAGAGGACUCUUUCAAGGCGACUCACUAUCACCACUACUCUUUGUCAUUGCACUAAUUUCUAUGUCAACAAUACUGAAUAACUCAGGCUAUGGCUAUCAAACAUCUAAAACAUCUGCCGGACUAUUCCACCUCCUUUACAUGGACGAUUUGAAGCAGUAUGGAAAAACACCAUCUGAAAUAGAAUUGCUGCUCAACACUGUCUGUUGAGCCAAGAUUUGCAUUGGAGUUUGGGCUGAACAAAUGUGCCACUGUCACCAGCAAAUGAGGAAAAACAGUGAAACUGAAGGACUCAAGAUGUCCUGUGGAAACAACAUCAAGAAUGUAGAUGAAGACAAUCACUACAAGUGCCUGGACAUUCUUCAGACUGACAACAUCAAGCACAUUGGAGAAAAAGGUUAGAAAUGAACAUAUCAAGAGAGUAAAGAUCUUAAAGUCCAAAAUCAUUGGACAAAGUACCAUCAAGGCAAUUAACAGCAGGCAUUAAAUGCACAGGGGGAAUAGCGGACUGGACUCAAGCAGAACUAAAGGCCACGGAUAGGAAGACCAGAAAAAUAAUGACAAUGAAUCAUGCCCUUUAUCCUCACAGUGAUGCUGACAGACUCUACAUACCAAGGAAAAUGGAUAGGCAUGGAAUGUCAUAAGUAUAUCAGAUGGUUGAAGAAAAAAAAAGGGCAUUGUAAGAAUAUUUGAAGGGGACUGAAGAUGAUGCCAGGAACACCUAUACCAGGAAGACCUACUGGGUACUGGAAAGACCAAACCGGCCUACAAAAAAGACCAAAUAAAGAACAGAAAUGAAGACAAAGUAUUACAUAGUCAGCGCAUUAAAAAAAAUAGGCAAAGCUGAUAAUAAAAAGAGUUGGCAAUGGCUAAGAGCAGGAAAGUUGAAGAAAGAGACAGAGGGGCUAAUUCUAGCUGCACAAGAUCAAGCCUGAAGAAGAAAUGCAUACAAGGUCAGAAUUGAGGAGAUGGGAACAGAUAACAAGUGCUGCCUUUGUAAAGAAGCUGAAGAAACGGUGGACCACCUGAUUAGCUGCUGCAAGUAGACCACCUGAUUAGCUGCUGCAAACUGACUACAAACAAUGGCAUGAUGUAGUAGCCACCAUGGUGCAUAGCAAGAUCUGCAAAGAAAAACCAUUUGUCUGCAAGCGAGAACCGGUGGGACCAUGAAAUAAAGGCAUAGAAAAUGAAGCAGCUAAAAUGUUCUGGGACUUUAGAACUCAAACAGACAGGUACCUGCCAUAUAAAAAGUCAAUUGUCAGUAAGAAAUAAAAAACAAUCUGGAUAGUGGAUGUGGCAAUACCUGGAGAAAGUAGAAGAGAAGAGAAAGACUGGAGAAGAUAACACAAUAUGAAAACCAGCAAAUAGAAAUAGAACAAUUGUGACAAAAAAAAGCAAAGUAUACCAAUAGCAAUAGACAGCUUGGAUGAAAUCCCAAACCAACUGGAACACCACUUGGAAAAGCAUUGGCAAUGACAAAAUUACCAUUGGUUAAUUGCAAAAGGCGACUUUACUCACAACAGCCUAUGCUAAAACCAUCAAACAUUAACAUCUGCCCAUCCCAGGUCCUUGGGAAGGACUCAACAGGUGAACAAAAAUGCAGGGGCACGUGACCCGCUUAACAAAUGUCACAACGCUGCAACUUUGGAAUUGGCUACAGUCAUAAAUCAAGGACUACC